rnacentral:snoRNA from 1 species
ACGCAUCUAUUGGACAGACCUGGGGCAGCUGCUGUCUGCUGCUAAGGUUUCUACUCCAGACGAAGAAGAGAGUGUCCUUGUGCUUUCUGUCUGUCUGACUGGGGCAGCCCAGAUUUGAAGAGAGGAAUACGGAG